rnacentral:lncRNA from 10 species
AUCGUUACCCGAGCCCAGCGCCGGGCCAAUGUCCUAUCUCAGGGUUUCCCACGUCGCUCGCUCCUUGACGGCUGACCGACACUGGGUCUGAGGUGUAAGCGCUUUCCAGGCCCUUCCCUGGGGCUUGGAGGGGAAUGGCGCAAAGGACUUUUCUUACAAGCAGAGUUACCAAAGAGUAUGUCGCUUAUUGUCUAAGAGGUUGGACUCCUGAAAGCCUGGACAGUGUCAUCAUCUUCACCUGAAGAGUGGAAAAAUUCAAGCAAAGAGUUUCUCAGGAAAUGACCAAGUAAAACAUCUGGAGUAAGUCAGCAGGAUUCACAGUGACUCCCCCCAACCAGCUGGUGGUGUUUCUCUCUGAAAGCAGCGCUUGGUACCAGUGUGAACUCUCUUCCUUCAGAAGUCUCAUCAGGUGGACGUAAUACGAGGGUCUGGUCCCCCAUACCUUGAGGACUCCGCUGCCAUCUGACAAUUACAGACAAUCCAAUUGUCCUCAUCCUUGAGGACUCUGCUGCCAUCUGACAAUUAGAGACAGUCCAAAACAUGCCACACUUUGAUCCUAAACACAUUCCUGGCUUUGGUCACUUUUGAAAAGUUCCUGAGUUAUGAGAAAUCAAUAAUAAGAGUGUUCAAAACCUGAACACUCUUUUUAGAAAUACCUGCUGGAACUACAUAUAUGAUUUAUGGGGUACUGUCUUGUAGUAUCUGGGAAAGUAGACCCAUCUAACCUGGAAUGAUCAUAGGCAACAAUGACCAAAAAUGGGGAUCUUUUGAUAUACCUAAAGUAAUUUAUUUGUGCACACCAUUGGAAAGAGCUGGUUUUAGAACCAGACAUGUAAAUAAGAGACUGACUUCCACUGGCACCUAAAAACUUCUAAAAGAAAUCCUGAAAGAAAAAGUCACCUUCAUUCAAGAGGUAAACAAAGGGAUAUUUGAAACUAUGUUAAAAGACUUCAGAGGCUUUCUCCCUUUCACCUCCAGACCCUCCUUUUCCUUCCAGCCCUGUGAUCUGAACUCAUCCCUUUCUGCCGCUUCUCUUGGCUUCCAUACAUCUCUUAGGCAGAGAUGUUUUAAAAUUUCACAAUGUACACAUUUCCUUCUCUCAGGGGAAAUGAAUUUAAAUUUAGAGCAGAAGGAACAAGCAGAACAACAACAGAAUGGGAAUAAGACUGCUGAGACUAUAAAAAUGCAGAUCCAACAAAAUUUUUUCUCACCAGGUCUAGUGAAUGACACUGUGAUAUGGUCUGGCUCUGUGUUCCCAACAAAAUGUCAUCUCGAAUUGUAAUCCCCACGUGUCGGGGGAGAAGCCUGGUGGGAGAUGAUUGGAUCAUGGAGGCAGUUUCCCCCAUGCUGUUUUCAUGAUAGGGAGGGAGUUCUUACGAGAUGUGAUGGUUUAAAAGUGUUUGGCAGUGGCCGGGCGCGGUGGCUCACGCCUGUAAUCCCAGCACUUUGGGAGGCCGAGGCGGGUGGAUCAUGAGGUCAGGAGAUCGAGACCAUCCUGGCUAACAAGGUGAAACCCCGUCUCUACUAAAAAUACAAAAAAUUAGCCGGGCGCGGUGGCGGGCGCCUGUAGUCCCAGCUACUCGGGAGGCUGAGGCAGGAGAAUGGCGUGAACCCGGGAAGCGGAGCUUGCAGUGAGCCGAGAUUGCGCCACUGCAGUCCGCAGUCCGGCCUGGGCGACAGAGCGAGACUCCGUCUC